UACGUAGGGGGCAAGCGUUUGUCCGGAUUUAUUGGGCGUAAAGAGCGUGUAGGCGGCCAGACAGGUCCGUUGUGAAAACUCGAGGCUCAACCUCGAGACGCCGAUGGAAACCGUCUGGCUAGAGUCCGGAAGAGGAGAGUGGAAUUCCUGGUGUAGCGGUGAAAUGCGCAGAUAUCAGGAAGAACACCAAUGGCGAAGGCAGCUCUCUGGGACGGUACUGACGCUGAGACGCGAAAAGCGUGGGGAGCGAACAGG
rnacentral:rRNA from 1 species